rnacentral:lncRNA from 1 species
GUGGGAUGACACAUAUGAAUUGGAUGUUCCAACGGAGCGUUCCUUAGCCGUCAGGUAGCGCAUCAGCGUGUGGUUUGUUUAGAUGCUCUUUCGGAUUCCCACAGAUGCUGACUUGGACGUCUUCAGACUUCAGGUGUCUCGAGAUGUCGAUUUACUUCCGAUUUACAUAACCAGCAUCGAUACGCACCAACACCCCGGGCAUGCCGUGCGGCAUUGCAAACAUACCCCACACUGCAUGCCACAUGAGUUUCUAGACAACCCUAAUUUAGACGUCCCAGGAACGGAUACUAGCUCCGACCCCGCCUAACCUCCUCUACUCCAGAAAAACUCUACAGCUCGCACAGCUUCCUCUUGAGGGGCACCGUAACGCACAGAAUGGCCCGACUGUGGUCAGCCCUAGGAGGCUGCGACAUCGCUGCCAGUCCCGGCUACCCGAAGUAAGUAAUGGGAUGUGGGCCUAACCCACCUAACCCCUGUGUGGGCACAACGGUCUCCCCGCGUAGCCCUCAUCAGUAGCGCAUCAUCAUGGAUCCUAACACCUCAGUAACAUGCAGAAGACACGGUUGGGUUGCACAUGACCUAUUGCACAUAUGAACAACCUCAUGCCCACCUCCGUCACGCUCCUCUGGACCUAACCCGCUCACAACACCUCACGUGUUCUUGGGAACGCCUUCCCCCGGCAGGCACGCACGUCCACACACUCCACACAGACUCGACUCAGAUCAUUAGAAUGUACAUACACACAGUCACCUCUCUCCACCUCUUCCAUAACAACCCCCACCCCGCCCCACCCCCGGUUCUGUGCACAAAGCGAGGGGAACUAAGGGGAGGCCCCCCCGAGGUUGCCCCGCCAGAAACCACAAUCCAUCUCUUUCCAGGAGAGCUCCUUACGGAGCCACGCCACCAACGAUCGAUAAGCACAGAUGCAUGUAACGCUCAGCCCUCAUUCAGCUGUGGAAACGCCGCAUCGUCUGGAGAGAGCAUCCUGUUGAUGGCAGCGAAGACAGCAGCUCCUCUCAACUUGUGCCCAACUUCUACUUUUGAAGCACCCAAGGAAUGGGAGACGCCCCAGGACCCCCAGGACCCUCGUAAUGCGUCCCCACCUCCGACCUCCGACAAGCAACUUCCAGCAAGAUGCAACUUACAAUCAGUCAAGAGCACUCCUAUGCACGACGCACACGUAGGAGCGGUCAGGCCCCGUCAGCACAAUCCCUCCG